GAUGAACGCUGGCGGCGUGCCUAAUACAUGCAAGUCGAGCGAAAAGACGCGGAGCUUGCUCCUCUGACGUUAGCGGCGGACGGGUGAGUAACACGUGGAUACCCUACCUAUAAGACUGGGAUAACUUCGGGAAACCGGAGCUAAUACCGGAUAAUCUCUUGCACCGCAUGGUUCAAUAGUGAAAGACGGCUUUGCUGUCACUUAUCGCUGGAUACGCGCCGCAUUAGCUAGUUGGUGAGGUAACGGCCUACCAAGGCAACGCUGCGUAUCCGACCUGCGAGGGGGAUCGGCCACACGGGAACGGAGACACGGUCCAGACUCCUACGGGAGGCAGCAGUAGGGAAUCUGCCGCAAUGGGCGAAAGCCUGACGGAGCAACGCGGCGUGAGAGAUGAAGGUCUUCGGAUCGUAAAACUCUGUUAUUAGUGAAGAACAAAUGUGGAAGUAACUAUGCACGUCUUGACGGUACCGAAUCAGAAAGCCACGGCUAACUACGUG
rnacentral:rRNA from 1 species